rnacentral:rRNA from 1 species
GCUACGGGAGGCAGCAGUGAGGAAUAUUGGUCAAUGGACGAGAGUCUGAACCAGCCAAGUAGCGUGAAGGAUGACUGCCCUAUGGGUUGUAAACUUCUUUUAUAUGGGAAUAAAAUGUUCCACGUGUGGGAUUUUGUAUGUACCAUAGGAAUAAGGAUCGGCUAACUCCGUGCCAGCGGCCGCGGUAAUACGGAGGAGCCGAGGUUUAUCCGGAUUUAUGGGGUUUAAAGGGAGCGUAGGUGGAUUGUUAAGUAAGUUGUGAAAGUUUGCGGCUCAACCGUAAAAGUGCAGUUGAAACUGGCAGUCUUGAGUACAGUAGCGGUGGGCGGAAUGCGUGGUGUAGCGGUGAAAUGCUUAGAUAUCACGAAGAACUCCGAUUGCGAAGGCAGUUCACUGGACUGCAACUGACACUGAGGCUCGAAAGUGUGGGUAUCAAACAGGAUUAGAUACCCCAGUAGUC